rnacentral:rRNA from 1 species
AGUGAACGCUGGCGGCGUGCCUAAUACAUGCAAGUCGAACGGAGAUUAAGUAGCUUGCUAUUUAAUCUUAGUGGCGCACGGGUGAGUAAUAUAUAGCUAACUUGCCCAUUACUAAGGGACAACAGUUGGAAACGACUGCUAAUACCUUAUACUCCGUAUCUAUAUAAGUAAAUACGGGAAAGUUUUUCGGUAAUGGAUAGGGCUAUAUCGUAUCAGCUAGUUGGUAAGGUAACGGCUUACCAAGGCUAUGACGCGUAACUGGUCUGAGAGGAUGAUCAGUCACACUGGAACUGAGACACGGUCCAGACUCCUACGGGAGGCAGCAGUAGGGAAUGUAUCAAUGGGGGAAACCCUGAAGCAGCAACGCCGCGUGGAGGUUUUCUCUUUUCGGAGGAUAAACUCCUUUUCUUUUC